AACGAACGCUGGCGGCGUGGAUAAGACAUGCAAGUCGAACGCUAAUUCUGGUGUAGCAAUACAGCAGGGUUGGAGUGGCGCAAGGGUGCGUAACACGUGGGUAAUUUGCCAUGAAGUUGGGGAUAACUCGCUGAAAGGCGAGCUAAUACCGAAUACGGUUAUGAGGAGGCAUUUUCUGAUAACCAAAGCUGGGGAUUCGCAAGGACCUGGCGCUUUAUGAUAAGCCCGCGGCCUAUCACCUAGUUGGUGAGGUAACGGCUCACCAAGGCUAAGACGGGUAGCUGGUCUGAGAGGACGACCAGCCACACUGGAACUGAGACACGGUCCAGACACCUACGGGUGGCAGCAGUCGAGAAUUUUUCUCAAUGGGCGCAAGCCUGAAGGAGCGACGCCGCGU
rnacentral:rRNA from 1 species